rnacentral:rRNA from 1 species
UACAGAGGUCCCAAGCGUUGUUCGGAUUCACUGGGCGUAAAGGGUGCGUAGGUGGUGAGGUAAGUUUGCUGUGAAAUCUCCGGGCUCAACCCGGAAAUGGCAUUGAAUACUAUCUUGCUAGAGGAGUGGAGGGGGGACUGGAAUACUUGGUGUAGCAGUGAAAUGCGCAGAUAUCAGGAGGAACACCAAUGGCGAAGGCAGCACUCUGGGACGUGACUGACGCUGAGACGCGAAAGCGUGGGGAGCAAACAGG